GAGCAACCUGCCCUGGACUCUGGGAUAAGCGCUGGAAACGGCGUCUAAUACUGGAUAUGAGACGUGAUCGCAUGGUCAACGUUUGGAAGGAUUUUUCGGUCUGGGAUGGGCUCGCGGCCUAUCAGCUUGUUGGUGAGGUAAUGGCUCACCAAGGCGUCGACGGGUAGCCGGCCUGAGAGGGUGACCGGCCACACUGGGACUGAGACACGGCCCAGACUCCUACGGGAGGCAGCAGUGGGGAAUAUUGCACAAUGGGCGGAAGCCUGAUGCAGCAACGCCGCGUGAGGGAUGACGGCCUUCGGGUUGUAAACCUCUUUUAGCAGGGAAGAAGCGAAAGUGACGGUACCUGCAGAAAAAGCGCCGGCUAACUACGUGCCAGCAGCCGCGGUAAUACGUAGGGCGCAAGCGUUAUCCGGAAUUAUUGGGCGUAAAGAGCUCGUAGGCGGUUUGUCGCGUCUGCUGUGAAAUCCCGAGGCUCAACCUCGGGCCUGCAGUGGGUACGGGCAGACUAGAGUGCGGUAGGGGAGAUUGGAAUUCCUGGU
rnacentral:rRNA from 1 species